UGGCCUUUGCGGAAGAGGAGGGCUGUUUAUCGUUGUUGACUGUCACUUUUUUCUCUCUCUCCAUCCCCCACAACCGACAUCCCUGACAGACAGUAUAGAACGUCAGUAAAAAACCCUCCAUUUCUUCCUCCGGGAGGCCACAUCUGACAGCGGUGUCUCUCACAGCUCUGUUCGCAGCACUGUUAAGAGAUCAUUGGAUAACAUGGACUCAAGUGGGCUUCGGACAUCAACCCCGCGCAUGAGCGGUGUUUAUUGGCCUGAAUUAAACUGUCAAAGCAUUGUCAACACAUGAAAUCUUCCACAUAUUGAAGCUGAACUUCCCCCUGCAUCCAUCUGACAAGGCUUCUUCAAAGUAUUCAUUAAAAUAAAAAAAGAAAACAUUGCCUGGGCCCUGGAGAACUUCUCACCAGUCUGCUGGUUCUGUCCUGGCCAGCAAGCAGCUGAAAGACCAGGAGCGUGAGGCAAGAGGUGAAGAACCAAAGAAAGGGUGGUAUAAAGAAAAUUAUCAAUACCAGUGCCAAAAAUGUGGAAAGGCAAAAAACUGCUCAGCUACUCUUAGGCUGUAUAUACAUAAUGUAAUUACUUCAAACACAGCAAAUCAUUUAUGUUGAAGGAAAUCUUUCAAUUUGUCGAUGGAGUGGUGCAACCUUAUGUCGGCUAAUGAGUCCAUUGCACGGCUAUUAAGGAAGCAACACCGCGAUAUAAAAGGACUGAAAAAUACUCUAUUAGACUGAAAAACAUUUGUCCUAAUGAGGAAAAAGCAAUGCUUAGGAUGACCUUUAAUGUGUACGAACUCUUCUUCCUCGGAUGGCGACUCUUUCUCCUCCUCUAUGAUCCAUGCAGACUUCUGCUGCUCAGGAUAAUGGGCUUGGCUGACAUAUAGACCCUACUCACCAACGUCACAGAAUGACGUGUCGCUGUAUCCGGCCGCCAUAUUGUCCGUCAUUGUGUAUCCGUAUUCUCAAUGGUUUCAAUUUGUCGUGCAAUUUAUAGUGCAAUUCAUGGAAGCCCCGGUGCUUUCAGACGCUGUAAACUCAUUGGAUGCGUUGCAUAAAAGGCGUUAUGUGGAAAAGCUUCAGUCUAUCCAUUCGCCAGAUCCAUAUUUGAUGCCUAAAUCGAUAUUUUUCGACCCGCUGUCUUCGCCGUCUCUGCCUGACAUCUGCUACCCUGAUAUCUACAACUAUCUUGUCCACAGAAACUCAGCCUAUUCUCACGAAACUUUGAAAAACUUUAAGAGCAGCACUCUAGGCAACAUUACCCCGUGUGACCCUUUACUUCCAUUUUUUUUUAAAUGGCGACAAUCAAAAAAAAAAAAAAAGUUGACUGCGAUGGCCGACGCUUCAAGGAUAGGUGGAUAUCGGACUAUUUUUUUUCAAUAAAAUACGUAACAACUGUGUCUGCCUCAUUUGCAAAGAGACAGUCGCUGUUUUCAAAGAGUUCGAUGUAUAUUACCAAACAAGACACGCUGACAUGUACAACACUACAGGGAAGAUACGCAGCGAGAAAUUAUAGCAACUUGAAGCUAGUUUAAUUUCACAGCAGCAGUAUUUCGCAAGAGCCCGAGUGUCGAAAGAGAAUGGCACAAAGGCGAGAUUGUUGAAAUUAUGAAUUAAAAAAAUUAUAAUAAAGCAAAUGUGACACACAGAAGGGCUUGCUAAAAUGUGUUUAAAUAUAUUGUUCUACGUAAAUCAGCCAAGGUAGCCCCCCCCCACAUUUUUACCACACCAAAUCUGGCCCCCUUUCCAAAAAGUUUGGACACACCUGUUUAACUGAUGAUCCGGAGACGAGGCCAGCUUCUUUCACUUGGUACCAGCUAAAUAUUAUUCAAAAAAUAAUGAUGGCGGAAGAAAUAAACAUCUUGAAUUUGAAACUGUAUGUUGUCGGCGAUUAGCCUCGCAAUGAUCUUAAUUGUGCUUGUCAGCCCAAAACCCUCUAAAUAUAUAUUAAACACAUCUUACCAGACAUAAAAUGACUACUACAUAAUCUGUGGUGAUUGUUUGGUGCCCAGUUUUCCCGUCGAAUUGCAGCAGUCCAUCUCGCUCUCCUCUCCGGGUCUCUCGGAAUACGGUAGAACUUCAAGUCUCUCCGUCUAUCUUCUCUGUUACUGCAACCAACCACCACACACGCCUUCACCAUUUUGAUUAUUAAUGUUAACGAGCAGAAAAACACGCCAUAAUAGGAAUUUACAUAGCGGUAAUGCUUAAACCCGACGAGCUGACGGACAAUAUGGUGCGGAGGCGUGGUUGAGACGUCAUGUGAGUAGGGUCUAUAGAUCUGCAAGACCACAAACACAUCUUAUUUCUUCAUUUGCAAACUUGUGUCCCCAAAGUUGAUUUCUAUUGGAGAAAAUUAAUCCUUGCCAUUUUUUUUUUGUUUAUUCGUGUUUUGUUGUUUUCCAAUCCAGCACAAAAGUCAUUCAAAGUGCUUGACAUCACAUUAACUCUGAUUAAAAAUUGGAAUCCCUUGAAAGCACUACAGUACUUGUAAUAUUGCAUGCACCAUGAAGUUCACGCUACGUCAAUGUUGUUUGCUCACAUGAUGCGGAAGUGAGUUAGAGACACGGCCUGCUGAGAGCCGUAAAUUGUGUUAAUG